rfam:Pontibacillus yanchengensis Y32 contig1, whole genome shotgun sequence.
AGGUGAUGUCUCCUAACCUCUAUCAACGGAGGCACUCGGCCACACUGUGGGUGCAGCACAAGCUGGACACCUUAGACGCAAGUCGUCACCGGUGGGGUGUGAGGUAGGGUUUAAUGCCCU